GACGAACGCUGGCGGCGUGCUUAACACAUGCACGUCGAGCGGAAAGGCCACUUCGGUGGUACUCGAGCGGCGAACGGGUGAGUAACACGUGUGUAAUCUGCCCUUGGCUUUGGGAUAGCCACCGGAAACGGUGAUUAAUACCGGAUAUGCACUACUUCUCGCAUGGGUUGUGGUGGAAAGUUUUUCGGCCAGGGAUGUGCUCGCGGCCUAUCAGCUUGAUGGUGAGGUAAUGGCUCACCAUGGCUUCGACGGGUAGCCGGCCUGAGAGGGUGACCGGUCACACUGGGACUGAGACAGGGCCCAGACGCCGACGGGAGGCAGCAGUGGGGAAUAUUGGACAAUGGGCGGAAGCCUGAUCCAGCAACGCCGCGUGAGGGAUGACGGCCUUCGGGUUGUAAACCUCUUUCGGUAGGGACGAAGCGUGAGUGACGGUACCUACUAAAGAAGCACCGGCCAACUACGUGCCAGCCGCCGCGGUAAAAC
rnacentral:rRNA from 1 species